AACCUGUCUUGUCUCCAUCUCUCGUGUCCCCUGUCCCCUCUCAUCCUCGCUCCCCCUCUGGGGUCUCCGUUGACUUACCCGCGGGCCGGGACAAGUGGCGCCCAACGUGGGGCCAGAGAACGGGGGAUCCAGUGAAGGACGCUGCUCAGGGGCCCUAAGAUUAAGAUUGAGGAACAAAGAGCAUACUCGACACAGAAGAGGCUUGCGAUUGACGUGGACCUGCCGUCUUUUUGCACCUCGAGAAAAGAGCCCCAGGACCCCUGAGAGAUGAGAUGAAAGAAUGGC
rnacentral:lncRNA from 1 species